CAUUCGAUAGCUCAGUUGGUAGAGCGGGGGACUGUAGAUUUAUAAUUGUGAUCCCUAGAUGCUGUUCGAAUACGGCUCGAAGGA
rnacentral:tRNA from 1 species